GACGAACGCUGGCGGCGUGCUUAACACAUGCAAGUCGAGCGGUAAGGCCCUUUCGGGGGUACACGAGCGGCGAACGGGUGAGUAACACGUGGGUGACCUGCCCUCAGCUCUGGGAUAAGCCUGGGAAACUGGGUCUAAUACUGGAUAUGACUCCACGGUGCAUGUCGUGGGGUGGAAAGCCUUGUGCGGCUGAGGAUGGGCCCGCGGCCUAUCAGCUUGUUGGUGGGGUGUGGCCUACCAAGGCGACGACGGGUAGCCGGCCUGAGAGGGCGACCGGCCACACUGGGACUGAGACACGGCCAGACUCCUACGGGAGGCAGCAGUGGGGAAUCUUGCGCAAUGGGCGAAAGCCUGACGCAGCGACGCCGCGUGAGGGAUGACGGCCUGGUGU
rnacentral:rRNA from 1 species